rnacentral:lncRNA from 1 species
AGUGGGUCUCAUUGUGGUCUAAGCGUAACGCGGGAUUGCCGAUUUUUUGUAAGCGUGACACGUGAAAGUCAAAUUAUUGUGUCGGUAAAACGGGAAAUGAGGUCUAGCGGGACCCGGGAAAUAACAAAAAAAUGAGAAUUGCUUACGUACAUAGUGUAAGCGGGAUACGGGAAUCUGACAAAACAGUAAGCGGGAUACGGGAAUCUGACAAAACAGUAAGCGGGAUCCGGGAUCGGAAACCCCAAUGAGACCCCCUUCAGAGAAAAGUCUUAAAGCCAUGGUGUUGUCAGUUUAUUUACGACUAAUGAGUUUGAAUUUCCCUAUGAUAUCUUUCGCC